UACAUUGAGCUAGCUAAAUAAAUACAAACUACAGGGCCAGCUAUUUAACAAUUUACAAACUUACUUUCGCAUAUGCUUACGAAGAAGACGAAGACGACAACCAAGAUCAGUGAAAUUACCUAAACAAAAAAGCAGAGUAAGUUACAAACUUUGAUAAAUACAACUAACAAUGAUUUUUGUUUACAUAUUACCCAUCAAAUAAAAGAGAAACAAACACAGCCACACCAGCAGAUACAAG
rnacentral:lncRNA from 1 species